rnacentral:rRNA from 1 species
CCUACGGGAGGCAGCAGUGAGGAAUAUUGGUCAAUGUACGCAAGUCUGAACCAGCCAUGCCGCGUGCAGGAAGACGGCUCUAUGAGUUGUAAACUGCUUUUGUACGAGGGUAAACGCAGAUACGCGUAUCUGUCUGAAAGUAUCGUACGAAUAAGGAUCGGCCAACUCCGGGCCAGCAGCCGCGGUAAUACGGAGGAUUCAAGCGUUAUCCGGAUUUAUUGGGUUUAAAGGGUGCGUAGGCGGUAGGAUAAGUUAGAGGUGAAAUCCCGAGGCGCAACUUCGGAAUUGCCUUUGAUACUGUGCGGCUAGAGAGUAGUUGCGGUAGGCGGAAUGUAUGGUGUAGCGGUGAAAUGCUUAGAGAUCAGACAGAACACCGAUUGCGAAGGCAGCUUACCAGGCUACUACUGACGUUGAGGCACGAAAGCGUGGGGAGCAAACAGGAUUAGAUACCCCAGUAGUC